rnacentral:rRNA from 1 species
AUUGAACGCUGGCGGCAGGCCUAACACAUGCCAGUCGAACGGUAACAGGAAGAAGCUUGCUUCUUUGCUGACGAGUGGCGGACGGGUGAGUAAUGUCUGGGAAACUGCCUGAUGGAGGGGGAUAACUACUGGAAACGGUAGCUAAUACCGCAUAACGUCGCAAGACCAAAGAGGGGGACCUUCGGGCCUCUUGCCAUCGGAUGUGCCCAGAUGGGAUUAGCUAGUAGGUGGGGUAACGGCUCACCUAGGCGACGAUCCCUAGCUGGUCUGAGAGGAUGACCAGCCACACUGGAACUGAGACACGGUCCAGACUCCUACGGGAGGCAGCAGUGGGGAAUAUUGCACAAUGGGCGCAAGCCUGAUGCAGCCAUGCCGCGUGUAUGAAGAAGGCCUUCGGGCUGUAAAGUACUUUCAGCGGGGAGGAAGGGAGUAAAGUUAAUACCUUGACUCAUUGACGUUACCCGCAGAAGAAGCACCGGCUAACUCCGUG